GAGUUUGAUCGUGGCUCAGAUUGAACGCUGGCGGCAGGCCUAACACAUGCAAGUCGAGCGGUAGAGAGAAGCUUGCUUCUCUUGAGAGCGGCGGACGGGUGAGUAAUGCCUAGGAAUCUGCCUGGUAGUGGGGGAUAACGCUCGGAAACGGACGCUAAUACCGCAUACGUCCUACGGGAGAAAGCAGGGGACCUUCGGGCCUUGCGCUAUCAGAUGAGCCUAGGUCGGAUUAGCUAGUUGGUGAGGUAAUGGCUCACCAAGGCGACGAUCCGUAACUGGUCUGAGAGGAUGAUCAGUCACACUGGAACUGAGACACGGUCCAGACUCCUACGGGAGGCAGCAGUGGGGAAUAUUGGACAAUGGGCGAAAGCCUGAUCCAGCCAUGCCGCGUGUGUGAAGAAGGUCUUCGGAUUGUAAAGCACUUUAAGUUGGGAGGAAGGGCAGUAAAUUAAUACUUUGCUGUUUGACGUUACCGACAGAAUAAGCACCGGCUAACUCUGUGCCAGCCG
rnacentral:rRNA from 1 species